AACGUAGGAUCCGAGCGUUAUCCGAAUUCACUGGGCGUAAAGCGCGUGUAGGCGGCCGAGUAAGUUGGAUGUGAAAUCUCCUGGCUCAACUGGGAGAGGACGUUCAAGACUGUUCGGCUGGAGGACGGUAGAGGAAGGUGGAAUUCCCGGUGUAGUGGUGAAAUGCGUAGAUAUCGGGAGGAACACCAGUGGCGAAGGCGGCCUUCUGGACCGUUCCUGACGCUCAGACGCGAAAGCUAGGGGAGCGAACGGG
rnacentral:rRNA from 1 species